rnacentral:rRNA from 1 species
GAGUUUGAUCCUGGCUCAGGAUGAACGCUGGCGGCGUGCCUAAUACAUGCAAGUCGUGCGGUAAGGCCCCUUCGGGGUACGACGAGCGGCGGACGGCUGAGUAACGCGUAGGAACGUGCCCCAAACGUAGAGGGAGUAAGCUCCAGAAAAUAGGAGUCUAAUAACCGCAUAUGGUCUUCGGAUUAAAGACUUCGGCGCUUUGGGUAGGCGGCCUGCGUACGAUUAGAUUGUUGGUGAGGUAAAGGACUCGCCAAGUCGACGAUCGUUAGCUGGUCUGAGAGGAUGAUCAGCCAGACUGGAACUGAGACACGGUCCAGACUCCUACGGGAGGCAGCAGUAAGGAAUCUUCCACAAUGGGGGCAACCCUGAUGGAGCAACGCCGCGUGCAGGAUGAAGGCCCUCGGGUCGUAAACUGCUUUUAUGAGUGAAGAAUAUGACGGUAACUCAUGAAUAAGGGUCGGCUAACUCCGUGCCAGCAGCCGCC